ACUAAUAGGUCGGAGCUGAACUGAACCAAGUUGGAAGAACUAAUAAGUUUGCGAAACUCAAUCCAAAUAGAGCUCCAACACAACUAAAACCUCCAAAUCCAACUUCCCACUAUUUUUCUCAGAUUUCUUUCAUUCUCUGCAGAUCCAGAGGUUCAUUCAAGGCUUAAUUUUUGUGCCUCUUGUUUUUCUAUCUUUCCCACCUUUCCCUUUAACCCCAUUUACUUAAAAUAGUAAACUUUAUUACUUUCUGAAGUUCAUUUACUGUAAAAACAAGAACCCCAAAAAAGAAGAAGCAUAAAGUUAGUCACUUUUCAAUUUUCAAGAUUGUUAUUAGCAUCUGUAUAUCUCUUUUGGGGUUUGUAAAGAUUCAAUUUUUUCAAUUCUUGGGUGUCAAAAAACUAAGUAUUGGAAGGUGGGGAGGGGGGUGGGGAGUUUUGGUGGGAGGGGGGGGGGGGUGAGGUAGGUUAGUGCAAUCUGUAAAGAUUCAAUUUUUACAAUUUUUGGG
rnacentral:lncRNA from 1 species